rnacentral:rRNA from 1 species
UACAGAGGGUGCAAGCGUUGUCCGGAAUUAUUGGGCGUAAAGAGCUCGUAGGCGGCUUGUCACGUCGGUUGUGAAAGCCCGGGGCUUAACCCCGGGUCUGCAGUCGAUACGGGCAGGCUAGAGCGUGGUAGGGGAGAUCGGAAUUCCUGGUGUAGCGGUGAAAUGCGCAGAUAUCAGGAGGAACACCGGUGGCGAAGGCGGUUCUCUGGGCCUUACCUGACGCUGAGGAGCGAAAGCGUGGGGAGCGAACAGG